rnacentral:rRNA from 1 species
AAAAAAGGUAAGCUACUAAGAGCGAAUGGUGGAUGCCUUGACUGGUAAAGGCGAUGAAGGACGUACUAGACUGCGAUAAGCUACGGGGAGCUGUCAAGAAGCUUUGAUCCGUAGAUUUCCGAAUGGGGCAACCCAAUGUAUAGAGAUAUACAUUACCUAUAUAGGAGCGAACGAGGGGAAUUGAAACAUCUUAGUACCCUCAGGAAAAGAAAUCAAUAGAGAUUGUGUCAGUAGCGGCGAGCGAAAGCGCAAGAGGGCAAACCCAGUGCUUGCACUGGGGGUUGUAGGACUGCAAUGUGCAAGAGCUGAGUUUAGCAGAACAUUCUGGAAAGUAUAGCCAUAGAGGGUGAUAGUCCCGUAUGCGAAAAACAAAGCUUAGCUAGCAGUAUCCUGAGUAGGGCGGGACACGAGGAAUCCUGUCUGAAUCCGGGUCGACCACGAUCCAACCCUAAAUACUAAUACCAGAUCGAUAGUGCACAAGUACCGUGAGGGAAAGGUGAAAAGAACUGAGGUGAUCAGAGUGAAAUAGAACCUGAAACCAUUUGCUUACAAUCAUUCAGAGCACUAUGUAGCAAUACAGUGUGAUGGACUGCCUUUUGCAUAAUGAGCCUGCGAGUUGUGGUGUCUGGCAAGGUUAAGCAAACGCGAAGCCGUAGCGAAAGCGAGUCUGAAUAGGGCGCUUAGUCAGAUGCUGCAGACCCGAAACGAAGUGAUCUAUCCAUGAGCAAGUUGAAGCUAGUGUAAGAACUAGUGGAGGACUGAACCCAUAGGCGUUGAAAAGCCCCGGGAUGACUUGUGGAUAGGGGUGAAAGGCCAAUCAAACUUCGUGAUAGCUGGUUCUCUCCGAAAUAUAUUUAGGUAUAGCGUUGUGUCGUAAUAUAAGGGGGUAGAGCACUGAAUGGGCUAGGGCAUACACCAAUGUACCAAACCCUAUCAAACUCCGAAUACCUUAUAUGUAAUCACAGCAGUCAGGCGGCGAGUGAUAAAAUCCGUCGUCAAGAGGGAAACAACCCAGACUACCAGCUAAGGUCCCUAAAUCUUACUUAAGUGGAAAACGAUGUGAAGUUACUUAAACAACCAGGAGGUUGGCUUAGAAGCAGCCAUCCUUUAAAGAAAGCGUAAUAGCUCACUGGUCUAGUGAUUUUGCGCGGAAAAUAUAACGGGGCUAAAGUAAGUACCGAAGCUGUAGACUUGCGCACAACUUAGAUUAUUUAAGUUUAGAAUAUGAGAAACUAAGUUAUAUUUUUACUGAUUUUUAUAGAGUAAAGAUAGAAAUAAAACUUAGUAAAAUCAGUAAAAAUAUUCUUAGGCUAAAGUUAAGUAGUUUAAGUUGUGUGCAAGUGGUAGGAGAGCGUUCUAUUUGCGUCGAAGGUAUACCGGUAAGGAGUGCUGGAGCGAAUAGAAGUGAGCAUGCAGGCAUGAGUAGCGAUAAUUAAUGUGAGAAUCAUUAACGCCGUAAACCCAAGGUUUCCUACGCGAUGCUCGUCAUCGUAGGGUUAGUCGGGUCCUAAGUCGAGUCCGAAAGGGGUAGACGAUGGCAAAUUGGUUAAUAUUCCAAUACCAACAUUAGUGUGCGAUGGAAGGACGCUUAGGGCUAAGGGGGCUAGCGGAUGGAAGUGCUAGUCUAAGGUCGUAGGAGGUUAUACAGGCAAAUCCGUAUAACAAUACUCCGAGAACUGAAAGGCUUUUUGAAGUCUUCGGAUGGAUAGAAGAACCCCUGAUGCCGUCGAGCCAAGAAAAGUUUCUAAGUUUAGCUAAUGUUGCCCGUACCGUAAACCGACACAGGUGGGUGGGAUGAGUAUUCUAAGGCGCGUGGAAGAACUCUCUUUAAGGAACUCUGCAAAAUAGCACCGUAUCUUCGGUAUAAGGUGUGGUUAGCUUCGUACUAGGAUUUACUCCGAAAGCGAAGAAACUUACAACAAAGAGUCCCUCCCGACUGUUUACCAAAAACACAGCACUCUGCUAACUCGUAAGAGGAUGUAUAGGGUGUGACGCCUGCCC